UACGAAGGGGGCUAGCGUUGCUCGGAAUCACUGGGCGUAAAGCGCACGUAGGCGGAUCUUUAAGUCAGGGGUGAAAUCCCGGAGCUCAACUCCGGAACUGCCUUUGAUACUGGAGAUCUUGAGUCCGGGAGAGGUGAGUGGAACUGCGAGUGUAGAGGUGAAAUUCGUAGAUAUUCGGAAGAACACCAGUGGCGAAGGCGGCUCACUGGUCCGGUACUGACGCUGAGGUGCGAAAGCGUGGGGAGCAAACAGG
rnacentral:rRNA from 1 species